UGAGGAACAUGACCUUCGGCGGGGGAGUAGCCGGCCCGACGGCCGGGUAAUACCGCGUACGACCACAUGGGGACAUCCCUGAGUGGUGAAAGCAGCAAUGCGCCGAUGGAGUGCCUCGCGGCCUAUCAGCUAGUUGGUGAGGUAACGGCUCACCAAGGCGACGACGGGUAGCUGGUCUGAGAGGAUGGCCAGCCACAUUGGGACUGAGACACGGCCCAGACUNUACGGGAGG
rnacentral:rRNA from 1 species